GCCUGGGUGGCUUGGUCGGUUAAGCGUCCGACUUUGGCUCAGGUCAUGAUCUCACGGUCCGUGGGUUCGAGCCCCACGUCGGGCU
rfam:Felis catus isolate Cinnamon breed Abyssinian chromosome C1, whole genome shotgun sequence.